rnacentral:rRNA from 1 species
CAUGUAGGCUGCUUGUUAAGUCUGAUGUGAAAGCCCCGGGCUCAACCUGGGAAGUGCAUUGGAUACUGGCAAGCUUGAGUAUGGGAGAGGAAAGUGGAAUUCCGAGUGUAGGGGUGAAAUCCGUAGAUAUUCGGAGGAACACCAGUGGCGAAGGCGGCUUUCUGGACCAAUACUGACGCUGAUAUGCGAAAGCGUGGGGAGCAAACA